rnacentral:lncRNA from 7 species
AUUCUCUGUCCAAGGCUGCUGUCGGGAGAUGACAGUAGCUCUUUUAAAGGAAAAGAGAGAUGACAAGAUAAUCCAUUCCCAGAAUGAAUGCCCAGAUAUCAAGCACUAUAUGUGAGAGCUGAAUAUUCAUAACCAUUUGCUUGAAGGCAAACAGUCUGCAGACUUGUUAGAGAAAACACUUGUCAGAAAAUGGUGUGAUGUGGGUUCCUUCUUGCGAAUAGGAUCAUGAGCAGGUUCAGCUCACUGCAGUGAGUAUGUUGGCAUGUUAUCCUGGCACAGAGUUGGAGGGAUAAUCUGGAAAAACAGCACAAUAACAAGUGAAGUAUGGGGAAUCCUGAGAGGGAAGAGCAUUUGUGGUCUUAAUGCCAAAGGAUUGAUCAGUGAUUGUCAUCUAUACAAGAGAACAUCCACAGCUGUGAACAAACCCAGAUAUCUCCUCAAAAGAGAAGAGAAUGAGACUCCUCCUGGGGUGCACAAAAGAAGGAGGAAUGCUCAACCAUUUAACCUCAGAAGUGUCUGAUGGCACUUUCCACAAUCAGCACUGACAGCUCAAGGAUGAAAGUCAAGUGUGGAUAGGCAGAUCCAUCCAGCCAACCGUUAUCCUGAGGCAAAGUCCAAGCAGAAGGGUACCAGUAAGUACAGCGGAGCCCAGGGAAGUCCAUAGGCAAGCUUGUAUGAUGCUAUAUUUACAUCUAAAGGAAGGGAUUUGUGGCCCAGUUCUGUCUCACAGAACUGUUUUCUUUCUUUUUUUUUUUUUUUCAUGAUAGUUCUUAACUUUUUUUUAUGUAAACAACUUUCAGUAGUGUCUUUCAUUGUUCACUGCAGGAUGGCCUACCUCUACUAAAACAGUCUCCCAGUGAGAGUGUAGUUUGUAUUUCAGAAGAUAAAUAGUUCCUAAAAAAUAAAGCAUUCUUUACAUGGUGUACCUUUCAUGUGUAUUUGUGUUCUAUGUACUUUAUACAUUCUGCUGGGAUUUAGUAGAAUAAAACUAUUUAUUU